rnacentral:rRNA from 1 species
GAGAGUAACUGUUCAGGUAUUGACGGUAUUUAACCAGAAAGCCACGGCUAACUACGUGCCAGCAGCCGCGGUAAUACGUAGGUGGCAAGCGUUGUCCGGAUUUAUUGGGCGUAAAGCGAGCGCAGGCGGUUUUUUAAGUCUGAUGUGAAAGCCUUCGGCUCAACCGAAGAAGUGCAUCGGAAACUGGGAAACUUGAGUGCAGAAGAGGACAGUGGAACUCCAUGUGUAGCGGUGAAAUGCGUAGAUAUAUGGAAGAACACCAGUGGCGAAGGCGGCUGUCUGGUCUGUAACUGACGCUGAGGCUCGAAAGUAUGGGUAGCAAACAGGAUUAGAUACCCUGGUAGUCCAUACCGUAAACGAUGAAUGCUAAGUGUUGGAGGGUUUCCGCCCUUCAGUGCUGCAGCUAACGCAUUAAGCAUUCCGCCUGGGGAGUACGGCCGCAAGGCUGAAACUCAAAGGAAUUGACGGGGGCCCGCACAAGCGGUGGAGCAUGUGGUUUAAUUCGAAGCUACGCGAAGAACCUUACCAGGUCUUGACAUACUAUGCAAAUCUAAGAGAUUAGACGUUCCCUUCGGGGACAUGGAUACAGGUGGUGCAUGGUUGUCGUCAGCUCGUGUCGUGAGAUGUUGGGUUAAGUCCCGCAACGAGCGCAACCCUUAUUAUCAGUUGCCAGCAUUAAGUUGGGCACUCUGGUGAGACUGCCGGUGACAAACCGGAGGAAGGUGGGGAUGACGUCAAAUCAUCAUGCCCCUUAUGACCUGGGCUACACACGUGCUACAAUGGAUGGUACAACGAGUUGCGAACUCGCGAGAGUAAGCUAAUCUCUUAAAGCCAUUCUCAGUUCGGAUUGUAGGCUGCAACUCGCCUACAUGAAGUCGGAAUCGCUAGUAAUCGCGGAUCAGCAUGCCGCGGUGAAUACGUUCCCGGGCCUUGUACACACCGCCCGUCACACCAUGAGAGUUUGUAACACCCAAAGUCGGUGGGGUAACCUUUUAGGAACCAGCCGC